CCGUCCAUCCCCCUGUCCGUUUGUCUGGCUGUAUGUCUGUCUGAAUGACUGUCCAUCUAAAAUAUAGAAACAGAGAGAGAGGUAGAUAGAUAUACAGACAUGGAGGCAGAGAGACAGAGAGACAGUGAGACAGAGAGACAGAGAAACAGAAUCAGGUGCAUAUACAGAUAGAAAGGGAGACAGAUAGCACUGGAGGGAGAUUGUUCUGAAAGAAGGAGGAGGAACAGUGACAGAGGGACGGGUGCAGGGCACGUGCCCGUUCAACGGCAACCAGACUGCGGGUGAGAGAGAGGCUGGAGUAGCGGCGUAAUCGAUACAGAUGAACAAAAGGAAGGGGCGAGAGAGCGUGGGAGGAUUCUGCAGCACGAAAGCGUACAACACCUGAAAGUUGAUUGGCCCGAAUUAAGGAGGGGGGCGUGUGCGACCCAUAAUUCGUGUAACCAUGGGUUUCAGAUACAUGGGCAAAAAGCGAGGUUGACGCUCCUGCCCUCAUUGAUGAGAGAACAAACCCGGAAGGAAGAUGUAUCUGAUACUGCAUCUGAUCCUCUCCGCUCACUAUGCUACCUCGGUGACGAUCCAUCAGACUCCGGACGCUCUGACGGUAUCUCCGGGCCAGAAGAUGGAGGUGGAGUGUACUAUCGAGGGCGGUAGCGGUACUGAGAAUAUGUACUGGUACAGACAAUACCCAGGGGUUGGGCCACAGAACAUGUUCUACUCAAUUGGAGCCAAAACCGUGCAGCCAGAGGGGCAGGUGGACGGUUUUUCGGCAAAGAGACCCGGACAGCAAACAUUUCCACCUAACGUCCGCUGGUUUAGAGGCGAACUCAUCGGCCCAGUAUUUCUGCGCCUGGAGUCUACACAGUGGCUCAGAUAAAUGGGGGAAGACACACAAAAACUUCACUCCAUCAUUCGCUGACAAUGAGCGCUCCCUCGGGCAGAUAGGUUUCCGUAUCUCCGAGCGUCUACCCCCCACAUCUUCUGUCAUCUAUCCAUUCGAUCGCACCCUCUUUCUCUCUACCUGCCCGUCUAUCGCUUUCUCUAUCGGGUUCUAGGUCUCGCUGUCUCUCUAUACAUAUGUUUCUGCCUCACUAUCUAUAUGUCCAUUUCUCUGACUGUAGAUCGAACUCUGUCGCUCUUUCUGCCUCUUUCCCUCAAUCUCUCUCUCUCUUUAUACCUCUCUCACCACCCGACUAUAUGUGUAUCUGUGCCUUUACUCAUCUAUAUCUAAUUAUAUGCAGUGAUAUUGUGUAGAUUAUCAGUUGCCCUCCCCCAGUUCACUCUCUAGUGUAUUCGCUUCCUCUGGAUCUUAUCGUUUGUCAUGUCAGAAUCUCUC